UGCGUAGGCGGGUUCUUAAGUUAGAGGUGAAAGCCUGGAGCUCAACUCCAGAACUGCCUUUAAUACUGGGAAUCUUGAGUUCGGAAGAGGUGAGUGGAACUGCGAGUGUAGAGGUGAAAUUCGUAGAUAUUCGCAAGAACACCAGUGGCGAAGGCGGCUCACUGGUCCGAUACUGACGCUGAGGCACGAAAGCGUGGGGGGCAAACA
rnacentral:rRNA from 1 species